GUGGGGAAUAUUGGACAAUGGGCGAAAGCCUGAUCCAGCCAUGCCGCGUGUGUGAAGAAGGUCUUCGGAUUGUAAAGCACUUUAAGUUGGGAGGAAGGGCAGUAAGUUAAUACCUUGCUGUUUUGACGUUACCGACAGAAUAAGCACCGGCUAACUUCGUGCCAGCAGCCGCGGUAAUACGAAGGGUGCAAGCGUUAAUCGGAAUUACUGGGCGUAAAGCGCGCGUAGGUGGUUUUGUAAGUUGGAGGUGAAAUCCCCGGGCUCAACCUGGGAACUGCCUCAAAAACUGCAUGACUAGAGUACGGUAGAGGGUAGUGGAAUUUCCUGUGUAGCGGUGAAAUGCGUAGAUAUAGGAAGGAACACCAGUGGCGAAGGCGACUACCUGGACUGAUACUGACACUGAGGUGCGAAAGCGUGGGGAGCAAACAGGAUUAGAAACCCUAGUAGUCC
rnacentral:rRNA from 1 species